CGCCGCAGGGAUGACGAAGGAAAACAAGAAGCCCCGGCCAGCGGAGCCUGACUGCGGCCCAGCUAGGCAGAGCUCCGGGAGGGGGAGCCUCACAGCCGUCGGAGCCAGGCCUGGUGCGAAUGACAGGGGGGCCGCUUAACCCGUUGUUUGCGGGUCGAGUCUGAGCAGUCUCACCUGUUAAUGGUGCGGAGACGCCCGCCUUCCGUCUGGGUCUAGAGAACCAGAUCGCGAUACAAAAGUUUAAAGAGGAACAAAAUGUCUCAACAACUUUUCGAAAGGAGAGAAUUAAGAGAGGGUCCAGACCUUCCAGUGUCAGCCUCAGCUGAGAGCCGAAGAUUCAAGAGGAGACAGCCUGUGACCAAUGAGGACGAGUGACAUGCUGUGGGUGGGCGUCUCAGAGGGAUCUGCAGGAAAGCUCUCUAGAAAACACCUCCCUCAUCCCCUCUGCUUACCCAGGGGGCUCGGCCAGCUUCUGCAGCCUCACCUUCUUUAUCCACCACCUGCCUGUGUGGCUGCUUCCAGCUGUGCGGACCGCAGGAGCAGGAGGAGCUCUGUUUGCCAAACCUGGCACGAGGUUCCCUGAAGAGCUAGACGACCCAUAAGACACACAGAUCCCACGCUAGCGCUGCUGAGUAUGCAGCUCAGACACAGGCCUUGAAAUCUCUUCUUGGUUUAUUUAUUCUGGCUUCAGGUUUAUUCCACACAGCAUGGUGCCUCCAAUGUGACUGUUGUAGCUGAUCCCAUCCACCCCCCAGCCGCCUCUCUGAUGGAAAUCAGUUGUGGACUCACCCCGCGUCAGUACACUGGGCAGAUGUCAUCUAGAGGCCCCCGUCCCUCAUUCUGUGAGUCCUCAGAGGGCGAUCCCAAGAGGCACGGGUAGGCAACCACAGGGUUACUGAAUGUCCUCAUUGGCAGUGCCCCACAGAAGUGUCUCUUCACAAACUGCUCCCCAGCAGCCUGGAGCACUGCAGGACUGCACAGCCUUCGUGGCAUGAACAUCGGGGUGCUCUUGCCACCAGCUCUCAGCCCUUAGAACCUUGACAUUCUUCUCAUCAGCAUUAUCCACAGCCAGGAGAAGAAAAGAUGAGGAUUGUUUUCAAAGGCUCUGGGCAGCAUCUGGAACAGAGUAUCCUGAAGAACCUCCAAACAGAAGGAGAUUUUGCAAUUAGGAGUACAAGGACACACCUGAUAAAGCCCGAAGCAGCUACAAAUCAUCUGCUGUGUGCCUCCUGAACUUGAUGCCACGUGGAACAUGAAGUUGCUUCCUGUAUGGCAGAUUCCACCUCCUUCAGAGAAGUGGAAAAUGACAGAGAUUUUUGUCCAGGACUCUGUGCUGCCACAGAAUGACAUAGGAACUGGUCUUGGUGGGAGCCUCUGGAGAAAAUAUUUCUCCCUAAUAAAAAGAGGCACAAGAGGAGAUGACUCUGGAAUUUGCUGGAUAUUGUAACUUUCGUGAGCAACAUCUGUGACCACCAACCACAUGACUGUCAUUGUCUGCUGGAUGGGGGACACAGAGAAAUCAGGCACGCUGCAGAAUACCACUGAGCCUCUGAGCCCACUGACCUUAAAGCUACCGCAACAGAUUCAUGACAGCCCAACAGCCAUUUUCCUUACCAUUUAACGCACUUUGAGUUUGACUUUCUGUUCCAUGUGCUAAAAAUUUUAAUUGAUUCAACUUAGAAACUAUGAGCCAGGCAUCAAACUAAGUACUUUCAAAUAAGUGAUCUCACUUAAUCUGUAAGACAAGGUCAUGGGAUAAUUAUUGCUAUGCUCAUUUUGGAGAUAAGGAAACUGAAACUCAGAGAGCUUGAUGACCUUCCCAACUUUAAGCAGAUAACAAGUGGGAAGAGUCAAACCAAAGAGAGUUUAACUCCAAAGUCCAUGCACUUUUAUUACACUGUGACAAGUUACUGGGGAGACUGUGGUAUAAAUGCAAAUUUAAUUAGAAGAUACAUUCACUUAAUUAAUUAUGAAGACAGCAACAUGCUGGCUAUUUUAUUAAGGUGACAGAGUUCAAAUAUAUGCAUAUAUAUGUUUGAUCACAGCAAUCUUAAAAAAUGCAGAUAAUCACGUCCUUUCAGUUACAUUUUUAAAACUAUAUCUUAAGGGCCCACUACAUGUGAGGCACAAAGUUAGGUUCUGUGAGGUACAAAAAGUAAGAUACAAGGAAGACAUAAUAAUCCUUGCCCACAGCACUGAGUUGGAGAAAUAAAUAUCCAAUGUGUGGCAGAUGCCUGCAGAGCAGUAGUGAAUCAGUUUUAAAGAGUGCUCUGUGUUCCUUUGUGUUCACGUUGUGUUAGAGCUCAGAAACACAUUUAUCUUAUCGACACCUGGGGCAGGAUGACGAACUUGGGACCCGGAGCUGUCUCCGCAUUUGGGAAGGAGGACAACUGAGCAGAAGAAGCGGGAGCCUGGAUGAAUUCACCAGGAUGGACCCCAGGUGCUGGCCAGCAUCAUUCUUGAUGGCACCGUGCACCCUCCCAGGGGGCCUUACCUGGGAGUUCUGGGGUGGACAGAAUGGGCACAGCAAGCUGUGCCAUCCAGGAGCUGGAUGGAAACUUUGUGAGGACGGCUGUUCUCUGUGAAGUGCAUAGGGAAGAACUCAGCAGGUGGUAACCCAAUUCUUCCCCAUAUAGCAGGUUGUUGGUGGAAAAUAACAAAACAAAUAAAUUUAAAAAGGAAAUUUUCAAACCAAACCAACCAGUUCCAAACAGUGAUGUGUAUCAGACCGCAGAAUACUCUCCCCGGAUGGAAGUUGUAAAAAUCCUCCCCACCUGAGUCAUUUAAAGUAGCCUGGUUAAAAUAAUUGGAAAACUGCUCCAGGGGACAAUCCAUUAGAGGCCAGGGUCUCAGAGAUGGAUUGAUGGGUCCCAUAGAGUUCUACUUCCCAGAGCAACACUUUCUGGGCAAUUUAGGUGUCUGUUGUUGCCUUCUUUAAAAAACAAGAAAUUAUUGGUUUUGUUUUCUUGUAGGCACUGUCAAGCACUAGCUGAGUAUUAAUACAAAAAGUGCUUUCAAGAGUGAAAAUAGAUCUCUUUAGGGUCAGAUUGGUGCAGUCUGCAAUGAUCUCUGUCACCUGCUCCUGGCCUUUCUUUUGGGAAAGGGCUCAGACCUCAGCCCACAGAGUAACCAUGCCAGCCCAGGUGGAGAACUCAUCACCAGCUAAGGCACAGGUCCGUCACUCCUUGGACACAGCUCUUCACACAGUUUGAAGAAAAGUGUGUGUAGUGGGGCGGGGAGCAGAUGGCUCUUUUCUAAGGCUCAGGUGCUUUGGAGCAACGCCCACUGUCGUCCUCCCAAAAACCAACUCCCAGUGCAUCCUUCUCAAGGAUAAGAUUCACAUCCAGGAGCAGGGCCAGGCAAGCAAUCUGGAGCCUCCUGGGGAAGCCCGUGGGGGUCUGUCCACCACCACAGAGUCCCUCCGACAGCCAGCCUGGCUGCUGAGAAUCUGAGCAGAAGCAAACAGGCAGGCCUGAGGAAAUGUCCCCCAAAGCGACUUGAGUUUUCACUGGAAGUGCUUUAGUUACUUGCUGUUCACAGACAUCUGACCCUUUCCAGCUUCCUGUUGUUCCCUCUUGUACUUUUGCCUUCCACUCAGCUCAGGCCCUGUGCCAAAUACUGCUAAAUACUGAGUGCAGAGAAGGUGCUGUGGUCUGAAGCCUGUAUCUUCCACAAAUGCAUAGGGUCAGGCAUCAGAAAGGAGUUCAUGUCCUUAUGACAGAAACCACAGGGCCAGCGAUUUAGCUCAGUGGUGCGGCUGCCUGCCUCACAAGCACAAGGUCCCAAGCUUGAUCCCUGGUACCCAAAGAAAGAACCCACAGAGAGUUUUGCUGCCCCUCCUAUGAAGUGAGAAAGCCAGGAAUAGGCGUGUGGGAGAGUAAUGAGGACUCAGCAGACACUGCUCCUGCCCGGCCCUUGACCAUGGACCACACAGCCUCAGAGCUAUGAGCGAUGUAUAGUCGCUUAUACGUCCCUCAGUGUCUGACAUGUUUGUUGUAGCAGCUGAUAGGGAGUGGGGUACACAGCCAAAGCACCUGCUCUGUACACAGGAAAUCUCCCUUCUACUGCUGUGCUUUCCAGGAGUUUUUCUGUUGGUUCAUGUAACAUUUGGCAGCUGAAUAGUCUGGGAGUGGUGAGGAGCUUCUGUCACAUCAAACUAUAAAAAAAUGCAGUUUUUUUUCCUAGCUAUAUAUUUCUCCUCCCCCGGGAAUUUU